CGUAUAUGAAUGUUAUUUCACCUCUAGCUGAAUUGGAAGCGCAGCAAUUUCCACUUGUACAGUCUUGUGUGUUUCCAAAGAUGGUGUCUACCAGUGAUGAUGUUCGAAAAGCAAGCGCCAAGGCCGAGCGGAGAAUUGUGCACCUGUUCUGACUUGCAGCAUGCGUGAGGAUGUGUACCGUGUUGUCAAAGCUUUUGCUACGAGAGGAGAGUGGGUGAAUGCUGAAGCAAAGCACUAUACUCAAGCCCUGUGACAGAUGAGAGACUUUGAACGUAAUGGGUUGAAUCUUACUUUAACUAAGAGAGAGUAGAUGCAGCGUGUGAGAGUCCAAAUUGAUGAGCUAAGCUUGUGCUAUAUCCAAAAUCUACAAGAGGAUUGUUCUUUCCUUGUCUUCACUGAGACUAAGUUGGCUGGGGUACCACAAGAGUUUCUCAAGAGCUUAGACAAACUAAAAAUGGUAAAUUGAAGGUGACCCUGAAAAGUCAUCAUGUGGCGGCAGUACUAGAACUUUGCGAGGUAUGCUCUGCGGAGUGGUUUUAUGUUUCUCAGUAUUAACAAUAAGUCUC